rnacentral:rRNA from 1 species
AACGAACGCUGGCGGCAUGCCUAACACAUGCAAGUCGAACGAGACCUUCGGGUCUAGUUGCGCACGGGUGCGUACCGCGUGGGAACCUGCCCUUAGGUUCGGCCUAACUCACCGAAAGAGGUGCUAAUACCGGAUAAUAUCUUCGGACCAAAGAUUUAUCGCCCUUGGAUGGGCCCGCGUUAGUUUAGCUAGUUGGUAGGGUAACAGCCUACCAAGGCGACGAUGCGUAGCUGAUCGGAGAGGAGGGUCCGGCACACUGGGACUGAGACACGGACGAGACGACUACGGCAGGAAGCAGUAAGGAAGAGUGGUGAAUGGGCGGAAGCAUGAACCAGCCAGGCAGCGUGCAGGAAGACGGCACUACGGGUUGUAAACUGCUUUUAGACGGGAAUAAACCCAGAUACGUGUAUCUGGCUGAAUGUACUGGAAGAAUAAGGAUCGGCUAACUCCGUG